UACGUAGGGUGCGAGCGUUGUCCGGAUUUACUGGGCGUAAAGAGCUCGUAGGCGGUUUGUCGCGUCGGCCGUGAAAUCUCCACGCUUAACGUGGAGCGUGCGGUCGAUACGGGCAGACUUGAGUUCGGUAGGGGAGACUGGAAUUCCUGGUGUAGCGGUGAAAUGCGCAGAUAUCAGGAGGAACACCGGCGGCGAAGGCGGGUCUCUGGGCCGAUACUGACGCUGAGGAGCGAAAGCGUGGGGAGCGAACAGG
rnacentral:rRNA from 1 species